AGCGAACGCUGGCGGCAUGCCUAACACAUGCAAGUCGCACGGGGGGGCUUCGGCCUCCCAGUGGCGGACGGGUGAGGAACGCGUAGGGACCUGUCGAGGGGUGGGGGAUAACCGCGGGAAACUGCGGCUAAUACCGCAUGACGCCGCGGCGUGACAGCCGGGGCCAAAGGCGAAAGCCGCCCGCCGAGGGGCCUGCGUCCGAUUAGCUGGUUGGCGGGGUAGCGGCCCACCAAGGCGUCGAUCGGUGGCUUGUCUGAGGGGGUGAUCAGCCACACCGGGACUGGGGCCAGGCCCGGACUCCUACGGGAGGCAGCAGUGGGGAAUAUUGGACAAUGGGCGCAAGCCUGAUCCAGCAAUGCCGCGUGGGUGAAGAAGGUCUUCGGAUUGUAAAGCCCUUUCGGCGGGGACGAUGGUGACGGUACCCGCAGAAGAAGCCCCGGCUAACUUCGUG
rnacentral:rRNA from 1 species